UAAGAGUGAAACAUAAUGUAUGUAAUAAAGA
rnacentral:piRNA from 1 species